CUGGUUGGAAAAGCUAUAGCCAUUCUGGUGAACAGCGCUUACCUUGCGAAGCCUGUCUUAAAUCUGCCUCCCCUGUACCCCUCUCCACUCUGUACCAUCACCUCCUGCACUAGGCCUCUCCUCUACUGUGUGCAGUCUUACUCCCUUACGAUGCUCCUCCCCCAUCCCUUCCUGACUCUCAGCUCUUCUCCUUCCAGCUUUUAGCAGAUGUCCCUUCUCAGUGAGGCCUUCUUUGACCAUACUGAUGGAUUCACAGGCAGUGAGAUAGAGACAGUUUAAAAUCCCUGUCUCCCUGUCCUUCGUCUCCAUGUGCCUCUCUGUUUUUCUCUAAAGCACUUUCAUUGUCUGACUCACUACACAUUUUACUUGCUUAUUUGUUUACCGUGGUCUCCUUCCUGAGAGGGCACGGAUCCGUGUGCUCACUGUUCAAAAGCAGAGCUUGGCACAUAGUAGGUGCAAGGUGAGGCAAGAGUAAAAAGCUGGUGAAACAUGGUUAAGAAACCAUAGCAGAAACCAACAUUCUGAUACUGUGGCGGAGUUACCUUAACUUCCUUGAGUUUGUGUCGUUAGUUGAGAGACUAACCUUGUGAAAAUUAACAGAGCUGAUUUAUUUGACGGUAGCACAGUGCCUGCGGGUCUUAGAAGAAGCUUCAUAAAUGAUACCGAUGAUUCUUGUGAGAAGGAAAAGACAAACCAAGGGAAAUGAUAAAGCAUCUUUCCAAAGAUCUUUUUCAUUAAAACAUUUGCAUUUUACUGCAGGUUUUUUCUCAAAGCGAACUCUUCGUGGCCAUCGUUAGUAAAUCCACCUCUGAAAGUUUAGUGAGAGGGCAGGUGAAACCCCUGCCAUUUCAUUCACUUCUGGAGCCCUAAGGUGUCACACAAGGUCCUCCUGGUGGAACUGUACGGCUGUCAGUAGGCAUUUGGUAGAGGGGGUCGGGCGUGCACGCCUCAGGGGCCACUAAUCUCAUCACUGUUUGACAAAUACACAUUUUAAACUUUAUGAUGAUUUCAAGUCUCAUAGAAAAGGAUGGAUUAUAUUCAAUAAAGGAUGUAUAUACUAAGGAAGGACAUGUUAAAAAUAUGUGAGAAAGAUGCUUAAUGUUAAAAUUUAAAGGAAUGGACUUCAUGGGUUAACCACCAGUUUUCUGAAAUUGUAUUCACUGAGUAUUUACUUCAUAAAAGUUUAUAUUUGUAUAGCACUGAGCUCUCUGACAAAUUCCAAGUUAUCAAAUACAUUCCCUGUGCCGGUUAUGAAUAAAAACUAGUUCAGGUGACCAGGCCCUAGCUUAAAUAUAGUUCCUUUGUUAAAAGUGAUCCAGGUGAGUGUGGUUAAAGAGCUCAAGGAAAAAAAAAACCCCAAACGAUCCAUAUUAAUGAAAUGGGGUGAAAUGUCAAAGCACUGUUCUUUAGGAUAGUGGGCAGGCUAUCUGCCCAGUGGCAGGUAUAUUCUCGGGCGAAUAAUGUCCCUGAAUUACACUCUCUUUGGUUUAUUAGCAGUUAGAACAUGAAGUUACAAUGUGAGCAGAGUCUUGUGGGUCUAGGAAGAAAACAUAAAUAUAGGUAAAUUUGUGAAGAAAUAGAAUUAUGCUUAAUGAUGUGUAUGUAUACAUGCUGAAAACAAGAAUAUUACAGUGGAAGUGCUACUCUCAUGAUUUUCAUAUAUUAUGAAUGACAUCAAAUGACUCCUAAGAGAGAACGUUGCAGAAAGGACCAUCUUCAUAGGUUGUUAUCUAGAGACAGGUAUGUCAUUUGCAUUUCCAAGAAAUGAUUUUGUAGUCUUGUUACUAUACUCUGAAUAAAUUGAAGAAAAAUUUUAAAGGAAUAAGUGUAGGUCUUUCCAAACAGCUUUUAUUAAAACAUUUGCAUUUUACUUCAAAGUUUUCAUUCUUUUCCUCAAAGAGAACUCUCCAUGGAAAUGUUAGUAAAUCCACCUUUCUACUUCAGGAACUUGAAAAACAAAAUAACUAUACGUUAUUGUGUUUUUCUAAUUGUGUUUGUAUUCAACACAGUAUUGAUAUAAGUAAAAGAAGAACAUUUACAUUGCAUAAUAAGUUACUCAGCACUGCUUUGUGUUUCUGUUAACAAAGCUAAUUUAUUUCUUCUUAGGGAUGAUUCCGUUCCAAAGCAAAAAUUUGAUGUCAUUCUAAUGAGUCUGCUUUCAAUUGUAGAGUACAGUGAAGCCUCAGUAAAGAAUAGUACGACAUCUAUUUUAUUGUAGAUAAUAAAUCUGCAAAGUAAGUUCUCAGCAUCUAUUGAAGUUGAUCUGGCAUGGAGUUGCUUUAUGAGUAGCCCUUUGAGCAGACUCUGCAGUUCUGUGUGUGGUUUUAAGUCACUGUCAAUUUGUAGGCAGGUACAUAUCACAAUUGUCUGUUUUUCUUUUUAGGGCUCAUGUAAUCAAAGAAGUUUCUUUGUUGUGUGUAUCUUUUCAGAACACAACAGGAAUUGAAAAUGAAUCAGAACGCUGAGCCUGUGGCAGCCGCCGAGACCCUGGCCGAGGUACCUGAACAUGUGCUUCGAGGCCUUCCAGAGGAAGUGAGGCUUUUCCCAUCUGCUGUUGACAAGACUCGGGUUGGUGUCUGGGCCACUAAGCCAAUUUUAAAAGGCAAAAAGUUUGGGCCAUUUGUUGGUGAUAAGAAAAAAAGAUCUCAGGUUAAGAAUAAUGUAUACAUGUGGGAGGUCUAUUACCCAAAUUUGGGGUGGAUGUGCAUUGAUGCCACCGAUCCAGAGAAGGGGAACUGGCUGCGCUAUGUGAAUUGGGCUUGCUCGGGAGAAGAGCAAAAUUUAUUUCCACUGGAAAUCAACAGGGCCAUUUACUAUAAAACUUUAAAGCCAAUCGCGCCGGGCGAGGAGCUCCUGGUCUGGUACAAUGGGGAAGACAACCCCGAGAUAGCAGCUGCGAUUGAGGAAGAGCGAGCCAGCGCCCGGAGCAAGCGGAGCUCCCCGAAAAGCAGGAAAGGGAAGAAGAAAUCCCAAGAAAAUAAAAACAAAGCAAACAAAACUGAAGACAUACAGCUGAAGACAAGUGAGCCAGAUUCCACCUCUGCAAAUAUGAGAGAUUCUGUGGAAGGCCCCAGAGACGAAGACGAGAAGCCUUCCGCGUCCGCCGCCGAGCAGACGGCUGCCCUUCAGGAGGUGGUGAGUCAGGAUGUGCCUCUGGAGCCUGCCCUCCCGCCCCCUGCCCAGGACCCCCAGGUGGGACCGGCCGCAGAGCUGGACGCGGCGCGUAGCGAUGCGAACGACGCGGAGGAGGAAGAGGAGGAGGAGGGGGAGGAGGGGGAGCUGGACGAGGAGGAGGCGGCGGCAGCUGGCGUGCCAGGCGGGAGCGCCGCGGGAGAGCUGGAGAUGCGGUGUGACGAGAGCCCAGAGGAUCUGUUAGAAGAGCCACGGACUGUUCCGCUGGGCGCUCUUGAAGACUCUCCGGAGGUAGCACCUGCCGUCAGAAUUCCCAAAGCUAAAGAAGAGGCCAAUGGUGACGUGUUUGAAACGUUUCUGUUCCCGUGUCAGCACUGCGAGAGGAAGUUCACGACCAAACAGGGGCUGGAGCGGCACAUGCACAUCCACAUAUCCACGGUAAACCACGCCUUCAAGUGCAAGUACUGCGGGAAGGCGUUCGGCACGCAGAUCAACAGGCGGCGGCACGAGCGGCGCCACGAGGCGGGGCUGAAGCGGAAGCCCAGCCUGACGCUCCGGCCACCGGAGGCCCCAGCCGAUGGCAGGGCGCCUGGGGACGGCGCUCCUCCGAAGGAUGACGCGCAGCCUCCCAGUCUUGGGCAAGACUCUCUGACCUUGAAUUCAGAGAAGGCUUCCCAAGACACGGUAAAUUCUUCUGUUGUAGAAGAGAACGGAGAAGUUAAGGAGCUUCAUCCGUGCCAAUACUGUAAAAAGGUUUUUGGAACUCACACCAACAUGAGGCGGCAUCAGCGCAGGGUCCACGAGCGUCACCUGAUUCCUAAAGGUGUGCGGCGAAAAGGGGGUCUCCUCGAAGAGCAGCAGCCCCCGGCAGAGCAGGCCCCGCCCGCCCAGAGUGUCUACGUACCCAGCACAGAGCCAGAGGAGGAAGGGGAGGCAGACGACGUGUACAUCAUGGAUAUUUCUAGCAAUAUCUCGGAAAAUUUAAAUUACUACAUUGAUGGUAAAAUUCAGACCAGCUGCAGCACCAGUAACUGUGAUGUUAUUGAGAUGGAAUCCAGUUCGGCAGACUUGUAUGGUAUCAACUGUCUGCUCACUCCGGUUACAGUGGAAAUAACUCAAAAUAUAAAGACCACACAGGUCCCUAUAACAGAUGAUCUUCCGAAAGAGCCUUCCAGCAGCACGAACAGUGAGUCCAAGAAACGGAGGACUGCCAGUCCUCCUGUGUUGCCCAGAAUUAAAGCCGAGACCGAGUCUGAUGCCGUAGCACCUUCGUGUUCCUUGAGCCUGCCUCUCAGCAUAUCAACCACAGAGGCCGUUCCGUUCCACAAAGAGAAAAAUGUGUAUUUGUCAUCGAAGCUCAAACAACUGCUUCAAACGCAGGAGAAACUGACUCCUCCUGCAGGGAUUUCAGCCACUGAAAUACCUAAAUUAGGUCCUGUCUGUGUGUCCACGCCUGCGUCGAUGCUCCCUGUGACCUCGAGCAGGUUUAAGAGGCGGACCAGCUCUCCCCCCAGCUCUCCACAGCACAGUCCUGCCCUUCGAGACUUUGGGAAGCCGGGCGAUGGGAAAGCCAUGUGGACUGAGGCAGUUCUGAGUUCCAAAAAGCCCAAAUUAGAAAGUCAUAGCAACUCACCAGCAUGGAGUUUGUCUGGGAGAGAUGAGAGAGAAACUGGGAGCCCUCUAGGCUUUGAUGAAUAUAAAGUAUCUAAAGAGUGGGCAGCUAGUUCUACUUUUAGCAACGUAUGCAACCAGCAGCCGCUGGAUUUAUCCAGUGGUGUAAAACAGAAGGCUGAGGGUACAGGCAAGGCUCCGGUCCAGUGGGAAUCUGUGUUAGAUCUCAGUGUGCAUAGAAAGCCUAGUAGUGACUCUGAAGGCAAGGAAUUCAAAGAAAACCAUUCGGUGCAGCCAGCCUGCAGCGCUGCAAAGAAAAAGAAGCCAACCACCUGCAUGCUACAGAAGGUCCUUCUCAAUGAAUACAAUGGCGUCGACUUACCUGUAGAAAAUGCUCCAGACGUGACCAGGAGCCCCAGUCCUUGUAAACCCCUAGAUCCUCAGCUGGACCCUGACCUUGGUCCCGACUCUAGCUUACCUGCCCCUCCUGGCGAGUCUCCUCCUUCGUCACCUGCCCUGCAGACAUCUUCCCUUUCUUCCGGGCAGCUGCCGCCUCUCUUGACCCCAACCAAUCCCUCUUCCCCCCAGCCCUGUCCUCCUGUGUUAACUGUUGCCACCCCACCCCCUCCGCUGCUUCCCACUGUACCUCUUGCAGCCCCCUCUUCCGGGGCAUCCCCUCAUCCGUGUCCCUCUCCACUCUCGAACGCCACCGCACAGUCCCCACUUCCAAUUCUUUCCCCAACGGUGUCUCCCUCGCCAUCUCCCAUUCCUUCCGUGGAGCCCCUCACGUCUGCUGCCUCACCGGGGCCUCCGACGCUCUCUUCGUCUUCCUCCUCAUCUGCUUCGCCUUCGUUCUCUUCUUCGUCCUCCUCCUCUUCUCCUUCGCCACCUCCUCUCUCAGCAGUAUCGUCUGUGGUUUCCUCUGGGGAUAAUCUGGAAGCCUCUCUGCCCAUGAUAUCUUUUAAACAGGAGGAAUUAGAGAAUGAAGGUCCGAAAGCGAGGGAAGAAUCCCAGUCUGCCACUGCGCGGGAUAUCGUUCAGGAGACAUUCAACAAAAAUUUUGUCUGCAACGUCUGUGAAUCACCUUUCCUUUCCAUUAAAGAUCUAACCAAACAUUUAUCCAUUCACGCUGAGGAAUGGCCCUUCAAAUGUGAAUUUUGUGUGCAGCUCUUUAAGGCUAAAACUGAUUUGUCAGAACAUCGCUUUUUGCUUCAUGGAGUUGGGAAUAUCUUUGUGUGUUCGGUUUGUAAAAAAGAAUUUGCGUUUUUGUGCAAUCUGCAGCAGCACCAGCGAGAUCUCCACCCCGAUACGGUGUGCACACACCAUGAGUUUGAAAGUGGCACCCUGAGGCCCCAGAACUUCACAGAUCCCAGCAAGGCCCACGUAGAGCAUAUGCAGAGUUUGCCAGAAGAUCCUUUAGAAACGUCUAAAGAAGAAGAGGAGCUGAACGAUUCCUCAGAAGAGCUUUACACGACCAUAAAGAUAAUGGCUUCUGGAAUAAAGACGAAAGAUCCAGAUGUUCGAUUGGGUCUCAAUCAGCAUUACCCAAGCUUUAAACCACCUCCAUUUCAGUACCAUCACCGCAACCCCCUAGGCAUUGGUGUGACGGCCACAAAUUUCACUACACACAAUAUCCCACAGACGUUUACUACCGCCAUUCGCUGCACCAAGUGUGGGAAAGGUGUGGACAACAUGCCUGAGCUGCACAAACACAUCCUGGCAUGUGCUUCUGCUAGCGACAAGAAGAGGUAUACCCCGAAGAAAAAUCCAGUCCCGCUGAAACAGACUGUGCAGCCCAAAAACGGUGUGGUGGUUUUGGACAGCUCUGGGAAGAAUGCCUUCAGACGAAUGGGACAGCCCAAAAGACUGAACUUUAGCGUUGAGCUCAGCAAAAUGUCCUCAAAUAAGCUCAAGUUAAAUGCGUUGAAGAAAAAAAACCAGCUUGUCCAGAAAGCCAUCCUUCAGAAAAACAAGUCUGCAAAGCAGAAAGCCGACCUAAAAAAUGCUCCUGAGUCGUCCUCGCACAUCUGCCCGUACUGCAACAGAGAGUUCACGUACAUCGGGAGCCUGAACAAGCACGCCGCUUUCAGCUGUCCCAAGAAACCCCUUUCUCCUUCCAAGAGAAAAGCUUCCCAUUCAUCCAAGAAAGGAGGACACCCAUCACCUGCAAGUAGUGACAGGAACAACGGCAGCAGCCACCGCAGACGGACAGCGGAUGCAGAGAUCAAAAUGCAAAGCAUGCAGGCGCCUUUGGGCAAGACCAGAGCUCGCAGCUCGGGCCCUGCACAGGUCCCACCGCCCUCCUCGUCCUUCAGGUCCAAGCAGAAUGUUAAAUUUGCAGCUUCGGUUAAGUCCAAAAAACCAAGCUCCUCCUUAAGGAACUUAAGCCCGAUACGAAUGGCCAAAAUGACUCACAGUGACAGCAAGAAGCCCAAGGCUGCAGCCAGGAAUCAUGCAGCUCAGCUCUCGGGCAAGACGUCUCGGAGCCUGCACGUGAGGGCACAGAAAAGCAGAGCUGUCUUACAGAGCAAGUCGGCCUUGGCCAGUAAGAAGCGGACAGACAGGUUCAGUGUAAAAUCUAGAGAACGAAGUGGGGGGCCGAUCACCCGAAGCCUGCAGCUGGCAGCUGCCGCCGACCCGAGUGAGAACAGGAGGGAGGAUGGCAGCGGCAAGCAGGAGCUGAAGGACUUCAGGUAAGCGAGGCUCCAGGGCCGGAGGAAUUCAGAGCUCCAGAGCGAGGGGGAGGACAGUUGGAAGAAAACACUGUCCUUGCCCAAUGGCUUCUCUUCCCUUUUCCUGCACGAUUUUGACAUAAGCAUUUAAAGGAAAUAGCUGUUGCUUAAGGUGUAGGCCGGUGUGCAGGAGGGUCAGUGCUUUGGCUGUUGUAGAGAUGGAUACAUACAGCUCUUACUUCAGGCGUAGGACUCACAAAGUGGUACAGUUUCUCUAAUAGGGCCAGUUAUGAAUUGGAUUUGAAGCCAUGAAAAGCUCCCCAGAGCACCCUACUAUGAAAAGGUGAAAUUCUCUCAAACUUCCUUUAUAUCUUGGGUGGUAUCCCAGUGUCACUGGUAUUAUUUUCUGAUCAUAGCUUACUUCUUAUGUUAAGAUGGAUCAUGGAGUUCAUUAAAACCACAGUACAAUCUGGUGUAAUAUUUCUGUGACUUAAGUGCAGUUCUAGCAGCUGAGACUGCUUUUUACCAUUCAUGCUUGCUUUUAUUGUGUUUUAAUUUUAAAAACUUGCCUCUUGGUUAAAAUAAAUCAAAACACAGCACUCUAUUCCUUUUAAAAAUGCCAUGUGUCCUCCCACUUGCUCCUGUUCUCAGGCAUAGGGUGGUAAACAGCCAGAUUCCCACGGGCGGGAGGAGGAGAGAGUGCCUGCCGAAGGGCCAGAGCAUGGUUCUUUCAGGUGCGGGUGGGGACGAAGGGCAGGUCACCCCGCUUGUCAGUGCCUUUGUUUCCCCGGCGUGAUGCCAGAGCCCGUCUUAGCUCAGCUCUGAGGUGGUCCCACUGUUUAUCCUGUGUUCUUCCUAUAUUAAGAACCGUUCUUGGCGACCGGUGAAAACAUAGGGCAGGAGUUAAGUUUGCUCCAUUGACUUCUCAGACUUCCGGAGUUAGUUCAAACGUGAGUGGAGUGCACUCUUGGUAUCCUGUGGUUUCCUGAAUGAUGCCUACAGGUUCAUCUCAGGUGAAAGUAUUCAUCAUCAGCUAGAAUUUCUGCACAGUAUUUUAAAAUCCUGUCCUUUCAGAGUGAGCUGCAGGACUCUAGGCUCUUGGCUAUAACUUCCAGUGUCUCAGAAUUCUUUGGUGUUUUAAGCAAAUAGAAUCAGAGUUAACUGGGAGGUGACUGCCGUUUGGAAAGGUCACGAGGGCUCAGAGAUGCUGUUUAUCACUGCGCAUUCGAUGAGGCAGAGUUCUCGGUGCUGGUGCGCCAUAAGUCAUGGCUGAAGAUGGAGACGAGAAUCAUUAGCCAAGGGUUGAUUGGAAUGAUUGACUGUAGGAAUAAAGGAUCAGACUUUUUUUAAAGCUACUUCAUAAAAAUACUAAGUAACCAGUUACGGUAGACCUUACUGACAUACGUGUAUACAGCGUCUUGGAGCUUAGUUAGUCCUGGUGAAAGUAAACACCUGUUUAUCAGCUGUCCAGACUUCCUGCCUGUAGCAGUUUCACUGUGUACCUCCUUGUGCUCAGUCUGUUCGGGAAGUUCCAGAACAACAGGACAUUCUUGGACUGUCCUUUUCAAGGUUAAACCACCCAAAACAUGCCGUCAUUUUCAUGGACUGUACUAAAAAACGUUUCCCAGGUGGUUGAUGCUUUAGAAUGUAUAUGUGUAUUCUCCUUUGUUUCCGAUAGUAUCUGAAAGAAUCACUUAUUUUGUACUGGAUCCCAUUUAUACAGUUCAAGGGUAAAGUUGAUAAGAAAAAAUUAACGUACUAUAAAGGAAAACUCUCUGAGUGAAGUUCAUCCAGGGCUUUUGAAGAACCCUUAAGACUGCAAAGGACUGAAGUGCCUAAUAAAAUUGUGUCUCUAUUCUUUGCUCCACUUAGUUUUAAUUAUUUUGCUUUGUUUGAAAGUUAACAUUGCUGGAAUGAAAUUUGGCCUGAAAGGAAACAAGGAACGAACAGUUCAGAAGACACGGGUAUUAUUCUGACUGUAGAUGGUAGCAGCAGGCUUCCGUGACCAUAAACUUGGGAAGUAUUUUUGGGAAUUACAGAAUGAGCGUUCAGGGGCAUCAUAUUUGGAUCAUCUGGGCAGAAGAGUGGGCGAUUCUUCAGAGAGUUCUUAGUACCUUGUAGUGAAUUUGGUAUAAAGCCGGGAUCCUAGGCACAGGCCUGGGGGUGUGAUGGUCCAUCGGUGUCAGCCCAGGGCUCUUAGUGGAGGCUUUGUCCUUUUCCACGUUUGUUGUACUGCACUGGCAAGGAGUUGCUCUAACUAGUCUUCUUCCCUUUUCAGUAUAUUUCUAUUUGUAAAUUUUAUUCAGGGGUGAUUUCGUAGCACAGGUUUGGAAAUAUCCACUUUCACUCUGGUUUUCAGUGAUUUCGCUGUCCUUGCUCCAUUGCAUGUUUGAGGACUUACCCCGGGCCUGGCAGCGCACCCUUUCCCUGUGUGUUUGAUCAUAACUGUGAUUAAGGGCUAGUCCUCGGCACUCAGACGUUUUACAUUCAAAUGCCAGUUUAGGAUUCCACAGAUUUUCAAGUAUACACUUGCAGUCAGCCGUGAGAACGACGUCAGUUUUCCAUUCUACACCGAGAGCUCAGCAGAAUUUGCCGUUUGGUCAUUUCCUGUAGCACAAGCCAUUGUGCCAAUCCGGGUGUGAAAAAGGCGUGUGCUCCAAAUCCUUUUCUUAGGACAAAGCCGCAGAGACAUACCACCGACUAGAUUCUCCUGUUACAGCUCUUAAUCCAGCGAACGCUGUGUCGGGCUCACCUUCCGCGGGUCGGGUUGGAGCCCACCUGUGGCUUGUCGGUGGGACUGCAUUUAGAGCUGGUGGCUGAGGGCUCACUUCCACGGACUGUAAGACAGAAAGAUAAGGAAAGAGCCAGUUAAGGACACGUAAAUAAGUGAUGGAGAAGCAGAACGAAAUUCCAGACCAAGCUUUUCCAUUUACCGUGAAAUGGGCUAAAAAAACCAAAAUGGUGCUGAUUUCUCCCAUACCAUCUCCACCACAUCACUCCAGGGAGACUGUCUGCGUCCCUCUCAGCAUGUCUCUUUUGCGCGGGACACCCACGUUCCCACACACCUUCCGAGUCAUCCUGUUGCUGUCUUAACAUUCGUCCCAUGGUCUUCCCACCUUUUCUUUACCGUGGUCAGUUCAUACAAGGUUGUGUUAUGUUGUCGUUUAUCUUCAGUUUUCUUAUUUUCUAGGAACUUCCUGUAGAAAAGCCCCCCAAACAAAACAAACCUUAAUUGACUAAAUAAAGAUAAUGCAUGCUCAACUUAGGAUAAGCACUACGGCAAAGCAUACGAAAUCUACCAAGCUUGCAAGACCAGUUGAAGCUGACUCAGAAACCCUAACACACAGCCGAUUGCCAGUGAGUGGGCUUCUUGUUGCCCUGGUUAGAGUCAGGCAUCCGCUUCUUCGCUGGCGCCCAACACACGUGCUGGGCUCACAGGCGAUUAAGAUGCACAGAGGAGGGCGCUAUAGGACAGGCUAGCUGACCUGGCCCCUCAUCACAGGACUGGUAACUCAGACCUGAGCAUGGCCCUGGCUUUUGGCACAGAGCAGAGAAAGGAAUGAGUUGAACCUAAUCUUGCAAAGCAAGUUCUCUGUUUUAUCAGUAGUUUGUUGUAGAUUUCAGGGAUGACGGAUUCUGAUGCACUCGUUUUAUAAUGUUUUGGUCACACCAGCUCUUGAUGCCUUUCCUUUAAAUGAAUUGUAGACAGAGGCAUUUAGCUUCUUUCUUAGCCUGUUUCUUUUUGUUGUUGCUGUUGUUGUUGUUUUAUCACAAGCCGAUUGCCAGCAUAAUGGAGAGGAAACCAGAUUGGAUAUGGACUCUUUUUUAUGCCUCUUCCAGUGUCAUGUUUAUAUAUCCAAAUGGACAUUAUCCUCUCAGAUUAUUAUCUGGCACUAAUUUAUAACUGUUGUAUUAUCGGAGACGGUAGCAAUAUUAUCAGUGCCCAGGAUACAUCACAGGCCUGUAUAGAUGUAUGUCUACACCUAAGGGUAAAUGAAUUCACUUAUCAGGUUUUACACAUCAGUCUCUAAUAUAGAGAUUUAAACAGCCCAACGGAUUGGCCUAUUUCUGAGUAUACAAGUGUCAUUUCUCCACGCAUUAUUAUAUGCCUGCCCUCUAAUUAAUGACGGAGUUGGUGGACAAUGGCUAAGUUUUAUUCGUGUUGUUUUUUUUUGUUGUUGUUGUUGUUCUCAACUUUAAAAGUAAUCUACCUCUUAAAAUUUGUAGUUUAAUACUUGUUUGGUGAAUUUGUGCCACUUUAACCCUUUCACUAUCAUUCCCAUUUUGUUACACUUCUGUUAUGGGGACUUUAUGUUGAAAUAUUGUAUAAAGCAUUUGUAGCAGUUUAAAAAUAAAAUAUUUAAAAUUAUUUAAAUUGUUUUGGACGCUUCAAUUGUAUUAUAUGUGAUUUACAUUUUACAUUUUGUUUGAGUUGUUAAUCUGGAGAGUGUUCUUGUAUUGAAGUUUGCUGUUAGUAAUUUUAUUGUUUCUUGUUGCAGAGUGAUAUAAAAGACUAUUCUAAUGAAAACAUUAAAAUUUACAAAUUGACAUACAAAAGGGGUUGUCCGUUGAUUUUAACCAACGUAGCCUUGAGAGAGAGAGAGAGGUUAAUUAUAGACAGACAAGUUAAGAGUGGUGUUUGCUAUUUUUCCCCUUCCAGCAUGAAAUAAAUCAUUUGAGCUUGUCAGAUGUACAGAAAGUUUUCUUAUGCUGUUGCUAGCAAGCACUUACUGACGGGGGAAUUCAAAUGAUGCAUUUUAUAUCAUUGUAACCAAUAAAAAACUUUCUAAAAGCUGUGGAAGGACUGUAUUUUGUACAUCAUUGGGAGCAGUUAAGGGGGAAAAUGAAGGUGCGUGUGGGAGGGGUGCUCACAGGCUGCAUCUCUAAAGUGCAGUUGUCGAGCCCCACGGCCGACCUCUUCCCACUUGUUUCUGUUUGGCAUUGAUUGAAUAUUUGUGAAUUCACAUCGCUUCCAUACCGCCUAGAGAGUAGACGUGCAGUUGGACGGUGGUGCUAAGAAGUGCGUGGAGAACUUACUUUGGUAAGAGUGAAAUAAUUUCCUGUAUGGGGUGUCAGUUUCCUCUGUGCUUGUGACCAGUUCGCUCUGGUCUGGAGGUUUUUAUAUUUAUGGCUCCCCUGAAGAAUGAAACAAAGUUGUUGUAACAUUUGUAUUAGGUUGAUAUGGAAUUGCUGUUUGUUUGUUUGUGUUCUUAAAGAUUAAAAAUGGCUGAAACAAGCAGUUUAUUCAUAAAGUC